CUCGUAGAGACAAGAAAGUUACU
rnacentral:miRNA from 1 species